AUGUAAAGCCUCUGUUAAUACUUUUCCUGUUAACAACCUAACUAUUCAACUGCUGAAUAAAAACCAUUAGGACAACUAAAGUAACAGAAACUGAGAGAUUUUAGCAAGAAAUAGUCAUUCCAAUAUCAAUGACUACA
rnacentral:lncRNA from 1 species